UCGAAUUCAUUGGCUGUCUGAUUUAUGCUUACCUGAUUCCUACACAGUCGAAUUCAUUAGCUGUCUGAUUUUUGCACAAUCCACUUUAUUUUGCUCAUUGAGUACAGUAGGGCAUAAGCGAAGUGAAAUAGGGUGAAUGAAAUAAAUAAAAAGGACAAGUUGUUUUGUUGUAUUAUGAGUGUGAUCCUUGGCUCCUAAUGUCUCAUCAUGCCUAAGACAAUCAGUAAGUGCUGGGGGCAGAGGAGUUCCAGCUCGGUGCCUCUCCAUUAAAUAAAGAGCAACACAAAACUCUCUCAAAGAAAGCAUGCCAUCAUUGCCUUGGUCAGACAAAUCCCACCUCUUGGAAGCCUCCAACUGAGGAACAGAUUGCGAGCUUCUACGCCAGUUAUUUUGCCAUCUCUGUCCCUAUCAACAUCGUCAAAUACUUUCAUGUACUUAUGGAUGUCAGACUGAGUAGUUUUUGGCCAUUGGAGAGAUGGAUUAGAAAUCCCAGCAGAGACAACAGGUGCAGCUGGAGCAGGACUGGGCUUUACGACAUGCUGAGUGUGUUGAUCCCAACUCACUGGAGUUGUUCUUCUCUUAUCUACCUUUUGUGCUUCUGUUCUAUAUCUUAUAUCCUAUAUAGUGCCAAACACUGCACUCGUAGGCCUAAAUUUGUUCAAUAUAUAAAUGUGCAGAGUUUUGAAGCUUUGAACCCCAGAGCCGUUGCUGUUGUGAUAGACCCCAUCCAGAAGAGGACGAUCGAUUUUCGAUUUUGUAGGAGAGCUGUUAAACCUCUCCGGCUCCGCCACUUUCGUUUCCGUUUCUGCGCUUUGUUUGGUGCCGAAUUUUCUGCACGUUUUACCAAUUCUGAACGAAAAUUCCCUUUCUGUUUUGCCGACUGUAGGGCUGUUGAAUCCGUAUGGGCUAUGGUCGCCGAGGCACUCGCAGUCGGACGUGUCUUCAUCGGAGAUGGAGUUUGGUACAGCGCGCCAGUACGACACCACCGACCUUGAUGAAGCACUUCAAAGAGAGAGUUUUGAAGCUUUGAACCCCAGAGCCGUUGCUGUUGUGAUAGACCCCAUCCAGAAGAGGACGAUCGAUUUUCGAUUUUGUAGGAGAGCUGUUAAACCUCUCCGGCUUCGCCACUUUCGUUUCCGUUUCUGCGCUUUGUUUGGUGCCGAAUUUUCUGCACAUUUUACCAAUUCUGAACGAAAAUUCCCUUUCUGUUUUGCCGACUGUAGGGCUGUUGAAUCCGUAUGGGCUAUGGUCGCCGAGGCACUCGCAGUCGGACGUGUCUUCAUCGGAGAUGGAGUUUGGUACAGCGCGCCAGUACGACACCACCGACCUUGAUGAAGCACUUCAAAGAGAGGUAAUUUGCUUAGAUAUUUUUAAUAAAACUUAUUUUUAGUUUUUCAGUGCUUAGUUAAAAUCAAGUGGCAUUGAUACUAUCAAAGGACCAUUUGUUUUUCGUUGGCAUUUCUUGUGGAUAUCGUGGUCAGAUGUACAAUACAGAUUAAUAGUAUGAGCAAAGUCCUUUGAUGAAUAUUUUAAUGGGUCUUUUUUUUCUGGGCACAAUAGGGGACUGGCGAAUAAUAUCCAAACAAUGUUCCUACAUUGUAUAUUUAUCUUUCGAUAAAGUUGUUUAAGUCUUGGAACUUAGCCAUGUUGAUGCCAAAUAGGCAGUAGAACAUGAGUUUGAUUUCCUAUAUAUCAACCAAAAAAUACAUUUAAUAAGUUCUAAUAAAAAGAACAGAUAAGUGAAAAAGAGAGAGAGAGAAGGAAUUAGGCUAAUAAAAUAGAUUUAUUCAUGACUACCCUUAAGAUCUCAAAAGAAAGAUCUUCAAAGCUUGAGAAAAGGAGUAAAGGACCUCCUGCUGUUGCAGGGCAUAUGUCACUCACGGCCUGUAAGUUUUUCCAAGUCUUUAGUGCCAUUACUAGGUUUCACAAAUAUGGUUUAGUAAAGUUAUUCAAGUGGGCUAAGUAAAAAAAUAACAAAAGACAAAAAAGGAAUACCAAAAACAAAUUAGGCGAUGUUUUACCAAGACAAAAUAAAUAAUUUCGGUGAAGGAAAAUGUUAUUUCAUUAAUUAAUGUCAAAUGGCAAUAAAGAGAUAAAGUGGACAACAAGACUGUCGUUUCUCUGAUCUGUUUGUAGUCCACAGACUCAAGCAGAAAAAGGCUUUAUUUUCUGUAGCAGCAGGAGCACAGUGCCCCAAGGUCGUAGUUAAGGGGUUUUUGUUUUAACUUGUAAUAACCUGUUAAGGGGUUUUUGUAUUAAAUAUGAAUUGCAUGUAGAACAUAAAAUCCAUUGUGUCAUAAUCUGGUAGGUAAGUGCUUGAGGCUGGCUGCAUAAUAGCAGGUUUGUUUUCAUUUUUCAAACACAAACAUGUAUCCUUUUUGAAGCAAACACAUUUGAUCGAUGUCUUGUGUGGGUAUCAUGCACUUUUUGCGUGGGUUCCACCUCCACUGCGCGGGCUGUAUAUAGAGCCGCCCACCUGCCCCACACCAUGUCGUCACCGAGUUGUGAGUGGGGCAUCCGUCGCCUCUAAUCCAAAUAAGGAGGAGCUGCGGCCAGACAUGGGCGGCAGAGUAGUAUCUGGAUCCGCUGAACACCCACCGGUGGUAUCUAGCUUUCCUAUCAAUCAGUGGCUUUCAAAGCUGAUGUUCUUGCUGCUGCCAACACAACAACAGAAGUUGCAAUGAGGCUUGUGAGACCUGAGACGAAGUGUCUAGGAUGAAGUUUCAGAUAUGUCAGCUGAUUUCAGUUUCAGAGCUGCGGAUUUUAGUUUCAAAGCUGCAGAUUUCAGUACUAGAGCUGCCAAAUUUCAGUUUUAGAGUUGCAAAUUCCAUUUUUAGAGCUACACUAUGAAUCCACACUUGAUUCUAUUUUCUUUUCAAUUUCAGGGCUGCAAGAUUUCUACAGAAUGUGAAGACUAUGCUAUCAAAAAAAGCUUUUCUAAUUUACCUAGGAUGAAGUUCAGGAUUGUUUAGGAUGAAUCAUGUGUUUAUCUAUCUUCAAUAAUAUUUUUUUACCCCAUUUAACUCGGUGCGGACUGUAUCUGCAAUUUGCUGGAGCUGUUUUUUUCUUUGAGGCACCCCACGUUUCUUCUGAUUUUAGACAUUAAUUGUCUGUAUCAAAGAUGGUAGCUUAUGGCAAUGAGGUGUGUUUAUGUUUUUGGUUUGUUAAUGGCAGGAAGCGGAUGGAAAGAAGAUUCAGAUCCAGCUGACAGGGUUCAUGGAAAAGAACACAGUGAAGUUCAUGAAGGAGCUCUGGAGCCUUCUCCUCAGUGCGCAGCAGAAUGCCAGUGGGGUGCCUCAACAGUUUCUGGAUGAAAAGGAGGCUGAGAUACAUCAGAAAAAGGCAUAGGAUGACAGGAGUGCGCAGGAGAUCCAAAAGAAGCCAGAAAAGGAGGGAAUGGACUCAGAACUGGAAAAGAACAAAACGAUGGAUGGGGAUGUUGGUAACUCAAGAUCCUAUGGUGAUCCAGUUGCCUCUGCUUUAAACAGUACAAAUUUCAAUAUCGAGGAAGAAAAGGACAAUGAUUUCAAGCGCACCUCAAGACCAAAAAAUAGGUUGUAAGGAUGCCACAAAAAUGAUGCUUGAUGUUAAGGAGAUAUUCACAUGCCAAAUUCAGGUUGUAAGGAUGCCACAAAAAUGAAGACCUUUGUUGUAGUGACAUAAGGAGUUUCGAAACUGCAAGGAAUUUUAAAUUUGAAUAUUUUUCAGUGAGAUGUUAAGGUAGAUAAAGUUGUUGAGUUAGAUGAAACAAAAAAAAAGAGGCACUGAUCGUUAAGACGACAAUACAUGAUAUCAUGAACCAAAUGAUUCGGGAACUUCCAAAAACCAAUCCAGUAUACCUCAUGCUACGCACAUCAUUUGGUUUCUCAGCUAAAGGAACCGGGCUUAAAGCUCUUGAAUUUGCCCUCUCCAUCUGUGACAGUUUUGAUAUGUAUGGCUUCACCGUAGACCCAGGUUACAAGGAAUGGACAAGGUACUUCUCAGAGGUAAGAAAGGGACACACUCCACUACAUGGUAGAGCAUAUUAUCAGAUGAUGGAAUGUCUUGGUCUGGUGAAAAUCCAUUCACCGAUGCAAGGAGAUCCUGGCAGGACAGUGAGGUGGCUGCCUACCAAGGCUACCAUCGAGGCUGCUAGAGUUGCUUCCGAGAAGUUGUUGAAGAGACCUGGUGCUGGAAGUGAUGAUCCUCUGGGGACUUGCACCAUGAUAAAGAAGCGCAGGAAAGGGAAGGCGCCAAACAGAUCUGGUCUACGAGAUGCUGCCAUGAAGCACCUCGAGGACAUGAAAGGUGCCACCAGGUAUCCCUUGGAGCGAAAUGCAGGGGGUGGUUACCUCUGCAUGAUCAAUGAUAGAUACGACCGCGGCUGAUUAUGGCAUCAGUGCCCCCUCCGCCCCUCCCCUCCACUUGAGUCGAAGAAAGGAAUGCUUGUGAUAAACUUGCAGUUUGAGGGAACGAAAAGGUCGAUUCUUUGAUUUAUGCAGCUGGUGUACAACGUUUGAGUGUAGUGAAAGUUAGGUGUAAUGUUUUGAGUGUAGAGAAAGCUAUAUGUUGUGGAUGGAUACGAAUGGUCAAAUUGUAGCACUUUUGGUGCUUAUAAUACUAAUAGGUGAGCGCCCGUACGUUGCAACGAAGACAUAUAAUAUACACAUUUUAUA